rnacentral:lncRNA from 1 species
AAGGCACGAAUGCCAGUUUAUCUUUAAAUGCUGUUUGGAAUGAGAAGGAAUAUUCUCUGACAAGUUACUUACAGUGCAGGAACUGCCUCGUCCAGUCAGUGUCUCCAUGCCCUUUGAUAGGAGCUGAGGUUACUCAUUUCAGCAAUAAAGCACAGUCAUGGGUUGACGUUGUCUGCCCAGUAAGGGUUAGAGUAAUAUUUUCAGCAAACACUGGU